UUAUUAUUUUAUCAACCCUUUGAUUUCUGAUAAAAACAAAAGACACAAUAAUAAAAAUUAAAAUUGUUUAAAGUUUAGAGUAAACUGCAUAUUUUUACGCGUAUAUGAAGAUACAAUAUAUCUUCUAAUUGAUCUUCAGCUACUUAACAAAGAUUAAUAUAUCAUUUUUUCUGAUACUAUUUAUGUGAUAAAAAUGAUAUUUUUGUAGUGUUUCAUACAAAUUUCUUGCAAAUACAAACCUAAAAUACAAACUACAAAAUCAUACAAAAAUAAUAGUCUAGAUCACAAAUAUAGUAUAUCCCGUCCGUAGGACGGGUCGACCCUAGUAGUUUAAUAAUUUUGUGUAGUUUAAGGACAUAGCUUAGGACUUAUCAUAAUUUCUUGAUUAUUGGAAGACUUAUAUUGUCCUUCUCACCUUCUUCGUCUUCCACGCCUCAAAUUUCAUCUUCUCCAUCUCCUUUGUUCUGCUCUUUUCCUUGACCUCGGAUUCUCCCCUUUCCCCUCUCUCUCGGCCUCCUCCGCCACCUCUCGGAUCCAGACUUCCGCCACUGCCCUCGUGCUCUUUGUCUCCGCAUCACUCUCUUCGUCUCCGUCUCCGUCAUGGGCUUCUCCGUCACGGACUUCGCCGGAUUCUGCUCCGCCGCCGUUUUCUGCCUGGAGACUGGAAUGGUUGAGAGAGUAGGGAUUAGAGGGUUUGUGACUGGAUUGCUCGUGGUCUUCGUACGCAAGCAGUGAUAGAUUUUGUUGCAUCUCUCUCUUUUUUCUGAGACGACACGUUGCAGCUUUUCUUAAUCUAGCAAAGUCCAGAUCCUUGUUUAUCUUCGGAGAUACUAGUGCAAAAGGUUCAAGUGGGAUAUAUGUUUAAGAUCGAAUUCAAAUGUGUGGAAACAGUGAUCGGAAAUCUCGUAUGUUCACCGGAGAAAGAUGAGCUUCAGAAGCGUCGACUGUAUUGGAUUUCCGAAGCGGUACAUCAUGAGGGUAAAAAAGCCACAUGUGUAAAAGCUUAUUAGAUUGCUUACACGUGUUUGUUUUGCUGUACAUUUAAUUCCACGAACAAAAAUUGUAAUUUUUGGACGGCACGGUGAUGACUCAGCAGCUGACUCAGAUCCGUUAACGGGAUUUAGACACCAUUUAGGUCAAAGCAUGAAUUAGCCAUUGACAUUGUUCUUCAGGUAUGUAUUUCAAAUUGUUUAGGAGUGUAGGCUUGUUUUAGCACGAUGAUAAAGUACAGAUAUGGAUCUUCCAAGAGUUAUUGGUGCAGGCAUGGAUUAGCCAUUUUCCCAUCCCCCAUAUGUACUAGCCCACCGGGCUUUUGAUGAAAGAAUACGUUGACAAAAAGAAAAGAUGUUACACGCAGGCGUUACCAACACGAUUUAUCAAAGUGCGGAUUUAUUUUCUUUUAUUUUUUCUAAAUUGACAAAUAAUUAGUAAAUGUCACAUUUUCAUAUAUUUGUUUUUUUAUAAAAGACUUAAAUUUUUUAUCUUUCUUUAUCGUGUUUCAUUUUAAAUGAGUAUAGGUCUGAGCACAAUAUCCGGACCCGAAGAACCAACCUGAACCGACCCGAAAAUCAGGGUCCCGAAACGAUCAGACCCCGGGUUUUAUGCAUGAGAACCGAACCCACCCGGACCCGGAAAGACCUGACUCGAACCCGAUCCAAAAUUUUAUAAUAUCCGAAUGGGGUUUAAUUUCAAAACCCGAAAAACCUGAUACCCAAAAUAACCGAUUCGUACCCGAAUGAGUACCCGAACGUCCAGAUCUAAUGGGUAUUUAUAUUUAGAAAAUUAAAGUUUAUUUUU